AUACGGAGGGUGCGAGCGUUAAUCGGAAUUACUGGGCGUAAAGGGUGCGUAGGUGGUUUAAUAAGUUGUCUGUGAAAUCCCUGGGCUUAACCUGGGCAGGUCAGAUAAGACUGUUGGACUGGAGUAUGGGAGAGGGUAGUGGAAUUUCCGGUGUAGCGGUGAAAUGCGUAGAGAUCGGAAGGAACACCAGUGGCGAAGGCGGCUACCUGGCCUAAUACUGACACUGAGGCACGAAAGCGUGGGGAGC
rnacentral:rRNA from 1 species